rnacentral:misc_RNA from 1 species
CAAUUUACCUAGUUUGCAUCAGCUGCACAGAAGAACCAUUUGAAUCACUGAGGGGGCAAUUGGAGCUUAUCUAUUGUCAGAUGAUACUCAUUUUAACAAAGUCAGUAAAUAGAUGUUUCUCGAGAAGAAUCCAAAGUUUGAUAUGACACCCUUGCUUGGAGGAACGGAUGUUGUCUUCUCAUCACUCAUACAUUCAUUUAGUUGGAAUCCAGCCG